rnacentral:rRNA from 1 species
AACGAACGCUGGCGGCAUGCCUAACACAUGCAAGUCGAACGAGACCUUCGGGUCUAGUGGCGCACGGGUGCGUAACGCGUGGGAACCUGCCCUUAGGUUCGGAAUAACUCCCCGAAAGGGGUGCUAAUACCGGAUAAUGUCUUCGGACCAAAGAUCUAUCGCCUUUGGAUGGGCCCGCGUUGGAUUCGCUAGUUGGUAGGGUAAAAGCCUACCAAGGCGACGAUCCAUAGCUGGUCUGAGAGGAUGAUCAGCCACACUGGGACUGAGACACGGCCCAGACUCCUACGGGAGGCAGCAGUAGGGAAUAUUGGACACGGGGCGAAGGCCUGAUCCAGCAAUGCCGCGUGAGUGAUGAAGGCCUUAGGGUUGUAAAGCUCUUUUACCCGAGAUGAUAAUGACGGUACCGGGAGAAUAAGCUCCGGCUAACUCCGUG